UACGUAGGUCCCGAGCGUUAUCCGGAAUUAUUGGGCGUAAAGGGUGCGCAGGUGGUUAUGUAAGUCUGGUGUGAAAUUUUUGGGCUCAACUCAAAAAGGUCAUUGGAAACUGCAUAACUUGAGAGCAGGAGAGGUAAGUGGAAUUCCUAGUGUAGCGGUGAAAUGCGUAGAGAUUAGGAGGAACACCAGUGGCGAAGGCGGCUUACUGGACUGUAUCUGACACUGAGGCACGAAAGCGUGGGUAGCAAACAGG
rnacentral:rRNA from 1 species